UACGUAGGGUGCAAGCGUUAAUCGGAAUUACUGGGCGUAAAGCGUGCGCAGGCGGCUUUGCAAGACAGAUGUGAAAUCCCCGGGCUCAACCUGGGAACUGCAUUUGUGACUGCAUGGCUCGAGUCCGGGAGAGGGGGGUGGAAUUCCCAGUGUAGCGGUGAAAUGCGUAGAUAUUGGGAGGAACACCGGUGGCGAAGGCGGCCCCCUGGACCGGUACUGACGCUGAGGCGCGAAAGCGUGGGGAGCGAACAGG
rnacentral:rRNA from 1 species